rnacentral:snRNA from 1 species
UCGCUUUGGCAGCACAUAUACUAAAAUUGGAACGAUACAGAGAAGAUUAGCAUGGCCUCUGAAAAAAAAAAGAAAGAAAGAAAGUAAAGACCAUCUU